AAUGUGUGAGGUGGUGCUAUGUAGCAGGAACCCCUCUUGCUUUGCAAAUAGUUUUUUGUUUGUUUUCCUUUUUGCCCAAUAGAGCCCUGCUCUACUGACCCUUCAAUGUGCCCGUGUGCCUAAAUAUUCCUGGUCGUGUGAAAAGAACCCAGGUAUUAGCUGAACUAAGGAGCACAAUUCUGCAACAUUUUGGCACCCAAACACGGGGCUUGAGAAAUGAAUGCAAUUGGAGAAACUGGUUGUUUUACCAGGCGUUGAUUGGAAAUGUGUGCUUCCCUUUAAGCAGUCAAGCUCAACUUGCAGAACUGAUGGGAACCCCUUGGGAAAACUGGCCUCAAAUGUUUGUCUACACAGUCCACAUACAGGGUUCUUAACCUGCGACUGACCCUGCUUGUGCCUGUGAACCAACCAACAAUCUCUGGCUGCAGCUCAGAAAGGACAAAAGAGAAUGGGUAAUGUAAAAACCUGGAUCAGUAUUUUAGUUCUGAACAAUUAUCCUGCAAAUCCUGCCAGCUGAUGGGAAUAAAUAGGAUGCCCAUGAUCCGGAGGUUUACUUUUUGGGAAAGUAAAACCAAGGGAGCUAACCAAAGUAAAACCCCAUACACCCAAAUCUGAGCAAGCAUAACUAUAGCCACCAGUUAUCUGGGUGUGUCACAAGACACUCUUUUCUUUCCUUUGUUGGAGGAGAACUCAUUUCCACAGCUUCACUUUAGCAUUAUGGCUUAUGUUAAGGAGUCUAUGCAACUUCCAUGCUGAGACACGUUUUUGGUCCCAAAGUUAAUUCCAAGCUUUGUGUCAAAGGCCUAAGAAAACUGGAUCUUAGGGAUCCAGAAGCCAGACAAUAAUGAAAGUCAAAAGGCACAGCACAGGUGAGCAUGACUAAUUCCCGCUGAUUAAGCCAAGCUUCCUGUUUCAUGGAUAAAGGUCAUGCUAGUAUCCAUGGCAUAAAUGAGGUCUAGAGAACUAAAAGGCUACUGCCAGCAGGGGAGAUAGGGAGGACAUAAGACAGGGCAGCUAUUCCCAUCCCCUAGACCCCCUGUUAACAUGGAUGAAAGCCACUUUGACACCCAUGGGUGGCACCCUGUCACAGUUGGUGGGACUCAGCAAUACAGGGACAGAGGAAAGAAAGAGGAACAACUCACUUUCUCUCCCUCACACACCCUGAGUAUUUGCUAGAAAAAGAAAGGAACCAGGCACACAUGCUCCCCUAUUUCUAGAUGAGUAGCCAUUCAUCUUUAGUCUGCACCCUUUUAGAACAUGUCCUGAACCCCUGGGACUCUUCUGAAAAAAAUGCCUUCUUUUUUCCUUUUUCUUCCUCUGUCCUCUAUUCACUGGUAGGUAGGUAAUGGUGUCCCAUACCACAGAACACUUCCCUCAGAUGCAUCCUUCUAACUGGGAGGAGUUAAUUUCUCAAACCGUAGACUAAUUGGCUUAGGAUUAGGUUCAGGGGAAGGGAACACAGAAACAUGACAUGCCAGCAAAAGGGUAAAAGGUUUUUUUUCCCCGUUGGGCUUUUGGCCUCUCUCUCCCUGUGCAAACUGGUAAAAGGCGUCUGGAUUUUCUAGUUGUCCUUACCCACUGCUUGUUUCGUUUUGAUACAUAUUUUCUAAUAACCUGUUUGUCUCUUCUCACUUUUAGGCCAUCAAACUCCAGUCUGCACCUGGAGCCUUGGAUGAUGGCCUUUUUUACUGGGAACCCUGAAAUAGGCCUCUGAGGGAAAUCUGAUUGCCAUUUUCCCAAAACAGCUUCCCUGACAAUAGGAAGCAAUUAAGAUUGGUCUUCAUCCUUAUCUUUAUCCUUAUUCUAAUGGCAGUUAGAGGUACUUCUUUAGAGGGGGGAAUGAGACAGCCAAAUGCCUAGGCAGAUAAAAAGGUGUACCUGGAAAAUUUCCAACCCGUCACACAAGUGUUUACAUCAGAUGCUUUUGUGUAGAUGAGGGAAACUUCCCAGGGCUUGUCUGGGUAUGCCCACAGUGGACUGGAGCCCAAAAUGCACACUGGAGGAAGUGGAUGGAGCCACGUGGAUGUCAUGCCUUAUGCAGGGGAGGAGCCUGCUCUCUUCAGCUCCUGUGGUAAUGUGGGAAUCGAUCUGUGAGGAAACACUUUCUGAAAAUGUCAGAACUCUUGAAAACAUGGAUGAGGAAAAGCAUAAGUACUGCUUUAUGCUUUUCUUAUGAAUUUUAAAAGAUGUAAUUUAAAGGUACUUUAAAGUGAUAUUUGUGCCCUUGUAACUGAUUCAAAGUAGACUGCUAAGGACAAUAAGUAAUAAGAGUCUACAAAUAUCAGUAAAUUAUGAGAAAAAACGGUCUAAUGGUACUUAAAAUUGCAUUGUGAUUUAUUAAAUAACAUUGAACAGCUCCACCUGUAACAUUAAGAUUCCAUUUGAGCAUAUAGAAAAUAUAUUUAUCGCAACCUGAAGUGAUUUGGAAAGUAUGCUGGGAAGAAAAUAUAUUUACAAAUUAGUCUCAGAGGGUAGGUAUCCUGUAGCCAGAUGGAAUAAGAAGAGAGGGAAGGGAGAUUUUGUUCAAAGGGGGAGCAUAAGCUAAGGAAUAAAGCCACAAACAAUGAUUAAAUUAGGUAAAGUGCAAUUAGCUGAAUAUUGCAUAAGCAUACAUAUGGGAAGAAGUGGAAAAAGGAGUGACAAUAUGAAGCUAAAGGGUUUGAAGUGUUCAAGAUAAUACUAGGCUUCCUAGCCUAUUCCGAGACAUCUUGUUUUAGAGUGCAAUAGAUAAGAACUCUAAGGAUGAAAGUAGGAGACAUGCAUUCUAGUCUACGUUUUGGUUAAUGGACUGAAAGUGAAAGAUGGACUGAAAUUGGGGGAUGGAAUAAAAAUGUGAUAGAAUAGAAAAUAGAAAAAGCAAUUAGCCUAAUGUCAUUGAUACUUAGAGAAAAUAUGGAAAAUAGUAAAUUAGUGAUAUAUAUCUUUUCUAAUUCACCAGGGUGAGUGAACAAAGGAAAUCGGAUUUAAAAGUAUUCAUGACAUAGAUGCAAUAAGGUUUCUCAGUCAGACAUAGCAAAUUGAGGGAAGGGAAGAUUUAGAGGAUUGGAAAAUGUCUUGCUUGUAGACUAAUAGGAUAUCAAUAAGCCAUAUGAGCAAUAAUUUGAAAUAGUUUUUGUAAAGUAUCAUGAAGGUAAACCCUGUUUAGAACAAAUUAGAUUUGAAGUACUUGUGACAAAUGCAAUUGACAAUGCCUUUAUGCAGCUGGAAAAUUGUUGCUUAGCAGAAAAGCUUGUGCUGGACAAAUAGAUGUCCAAAUUGAAUAGAUGUUUUCUUAAGCUGAACUAAUUGAGACAAAUAUCCUUAUUAAAUCAAAAAAUUAAAAAUUGAAAUAACUUACCUAUGAUAGGGUAAAUAAUGUUAUUAAUAUACACAAGAAAUAUGUGAUGUAUAUGUGUAUGUACAUAUGUAUACAUAGUAAUAAUACAUAGUGCUAUUUUUAAAUGAUAUUUUACAUAGUGCUUUUUUAAAUGAUUUUUCAAUCAUCGUUGUUGGUCUGUGUUAUUUUAAUCAUCAAAGCUGAUUGAUUUCUGUUUUUGUGUUUUUUUUUGUUUUUUUUGAGGUGGAGUCUCACUCUGUCACCCAUGGUGGAGUACAGUAGUGCGGUCUUAGCUCACUACAAACUCCACUUCCCUGAUUCAAGUAAUUCUUGUGCCUCAGCCUCUCGAGUAGCUUGGAUUGCAGGCAUGCACCACCACGAGCUGCUAAAUUUUUUGUAUUUUUUGUAGAGGGGUUUUGCCAUGUUGGCCAAGCUGGUCUCAAACUCCUGACCUCAAGUGAUCCGCCCUGGCUUCCCAAGCCCAGCUGAUUCCUGUUUAAAUAAAAACUUACAAAGAUCUUCCCACAAGUACUUUAUCUUACAAUUUACUGAACAAUAGAGGCAGUGAAGAUGUUUUUCAGAAAGCAAUUGUGAUCCUGACAUUUUCUUCUUAUAAUCCUGUGCUUUCCUCAUUUUUUUAUAUUAAAAGUAAUAGUUCUUGUGAUGGCAACUAGGAUUUGUAACAACAUGUACCCUCAUUUCCUGCAUGACCUUUUUUAUGUCACUUCUUCACAUGCAAAGUAUACUCCCUCAGUGUCAUUACAUUAUUUGAUUUUUGCCCUUUCCCUCACCUUUCCAUGUGUUUAUUUGCCUAUGCCCAUCUCCUAGUCACAUUUUAUCUAGUUAACGCCAACUUGACUUUCAAUGCUGUUCAAGAUUUACCUCAAUCUCAAGUGUUUUCUCUUUAUAUUCCAUACACGCUUAGCUUGGCUGCCAAUCCUCUUGGCUGCCAAAGAAUCCCAAAUUAUCUCUUUCAAAAAUACAAGAAAUAAAGGAUGGAGGAUAGGAAGGAGGGUGGUCAGGAAAGAACAAAGAAAGGAGGGGAGAGGAAAAAAAGAGAGAAAGAAAGAGAAUUAAAGUUAAGGAGGAAGAAUUUCACACUGAAUUAAAAUUGAUAAUAUUCAGGAAUGAUUUUAUAGUAGGCAUACAUUGAUAAAUAUUAGUUAAAUUAAUGAAUUAUUCCAAAAGAUCAUGAUUUGUAAAAAUUACCCUGAAGCACUUUAGGAAUAUUACAUUGAAAUAGGUAUGCAAUUUCUAAAGAAACUGGACUGCAAAAAUAGCCAUUGUGUGUACCUGUGGACCAGAAUAUUAUAUUUUGCUUAAGUUUGAAGUGUUAAAGUGCCCAACGUGCUCUUAUUUUAACCUAGCAAAUUUUCAGCAGAACUUAAGCUCAUAUAGUAUUUGAUUUUUUCAUUUCUCACAACUGUUGGAAUUCUGUUUUAUUGAAAAUUAUACAAUAAAAUGUUAAAAAAUCUUUGUUCCUGCAGUUAUGCAAUCUUAUGCCAAAGUCAAUAAAUUAUUAAAUUAAAAUCAAACCCACUAAGCCUAACAAUUUGAGAAAAUGAUUAUUAAAACAUAUACCAUUUAGAAGGGCAAUGCCUUUUUAAUAUUAUAGUGAAGACAACCCUAUCAAUUAUUUAAUACACCAAGAAUACAAGGAUAUAAAAUCUUUUUCUCUCAUAUAUCACAUUAUCUGAUGUAUUUAGCUGUGAUGACAUUCCAGAAAACAUCACUUUUUAAAAUUUCUAAGAUUUUAUUAUGUUGCUAGCAAAUCGAUUUUUUUCAAGUACUGUAACAAAAUCCCUAAAUGGGCUUUAUGAGAACUAUUUUCAGUGUGAUAUUAAUCAUAUUUUAUUUAUCAUCCAUACAUAGAUGGUAGCUUAUCUGGUAUUCCUAGUGUUUGAAGUGAAGAGUAACACACACACACAUCCCAAUACCAAUUUAAUUGAUAAAUAUAUAAUCAUUUGUUUUCAAAUAUUUAUGUUGAUACUUGCUUGUGUACUUACUUGUAAUGUAGGUCUGUAAAAGGGACUGUUUUCUUUCUGUGAAACUGAAGCUUAAAGCAGUGCUUGUCACAAAUUCAAAAUCACCUUGCUUUGUCAACAUUUUCAGAUGUUUUUGGCUCAGUCUGAUGACAGCAUCAGUGCAGUAAAGGGAUCUUAUUGAAAUGUUUUAACUAAAGAUAAAAUGCCACCACUAGGAGAAAAAUAAAAUCAAGGAAAUAAACAGAAAAUCAAUAAAUGUGAAAUGUAUUAUAAAUUUAUAUAAUAACAAUGUUGUAUGCUAUAAACAUCUCACUUUGUAAAAUUAACAAGAAUUCAGUGAGGCAGAUCAUUUUCUAUGUGUUCAGAAGUCAAGUCUUUGAUGGCUAAUUUUUAUAUUACUUCAUUACAAUAUCUCUACUGAAGCAAAAUAAUUGCAAAUCUUUUUGAAUGAAAUCAAUUUAUCUUUAAUUUUAGAUAAUAUUUGGUAUAGUUGGCAUAGUUUUGUCACAAAGCAUAGCUAACAUCAAUGUAGCCUUACGACUUCAAAUGUCUUUAUAGAUCUUUUCUGAAAUUGCAAAAUUUUACUUUGAAAUUAUUGUUAAUAUUUACGUUGCACAACCACAAAUGUAGAAAUAAAAUUAUAAAGUCUCCAGAUAAUGUUUUAUUUUAACCACACAUAUGUUGUGAUAGUUUCAAAUAAAUGAAAGCUCUACUGAUUUAUCAUUUUCAACAUCUUUACAUUAUUUAAGUAAUAUUAAUUAUAUUUAUGUAAAAAUACCUGAAUAGUCAUAACGAAAAUUUAAUAAUAAUGUAUAAUAUAUUGUUAACAUCUUUUAUUUUCACAAAAACACCAAGGAAGAAGCAGUGAGUAUUUUUUAUUUAUUUUAAAAAUUAACUUUUCAAUAAAUUAUUUAGGAAUGACUGGAAAUGUGCUGAGACAAAGAAGCAGUUGUCACUGUACACAAACAUGAAAUCAAUUACCUUUUGGAGAGUUUAUGAUGUGUGAGAGCUAGUGAAGUUACAUUGCAGAAGAGCAUAUAAGGAAAUCCAGAUCUGUAUAUAUUGUAGUAUAGUUUUAGUAUAAAUCUCUAAGAUUACACUUUAGACUAAGCCACAUAGUCAAACUGUUGUCUAUUUAUUCCUUUUGAAGAUUGAAACUCCCACAACUUUGGCAGACCAACUCCUCAGAAAACAUUAUUCUUUGACAUCAAUAUGUUUUGCACAAAAUUGAAUGGCAAGUGAAAGGCAUCAAAUGGUGAGAAUCUAGAAAAUAGUGCAUGUACGGGAAGGCUUUGCUCAAUACAAAUCACUUGCAUGGGACAGUCUUCUUUAGUGAGUUUAUUAUAUACGGGAACAGAGAGGUAAUAUGAAAUGGAAUAUGGAAUAUGGCACUAGCAAGCACAAAUAUUCAAAUAUGUGGAGGAACAACUGGAUGUGAUAAAACACUAUAAAAAAAAUAGAGAGAAAAAUGACAGUAGGAAAAAGACUGUAUAUAUUUUUUGAGAAUAAAAGAUAGUUUCAUUUCAUUGGUGGACAUGAGAUGAGUUGAUGCAGCAUGCAGGUGGAUACCAUUUUUUUCAAAGAAAAUAUGAACAGAGUCUCAAAUAAAUAACAAAUGUUUAUAUGUGGGUUUCAAGGACAGAGAAUAAUAAAAUAACCAAAUAUACAUAAUGUUCCAGUAAAAUGAUCCAUCAGGGCUUACAGAAAGCGUAACUAGAGAGAGACAUUAACUUGCAGAUGAUUUGUUUCUGGCUAAUGUUGUGACAGGAGUGUAGCAUUUCCUUUCUUCUCAGUUUCCUAUCUCACUUACCUUUUGAAAAGACAUGAUUCCAUAUUAUAUUUAUUCUGUUUCUCUCUUUCUUUAUUCAUUUACCCUACUUUACUGAAAAAUCUCAAACAUCAUAGAAACAUGCAUGUCUUGGUUCUCCAAGUUUGAAAGGAAAAUAAUGUAGAAAGCUCUGUUUUUUUUGCCCUGGCAUUUAUAUACUCUCCAAUCUCACUACUCCCAUAUCACUCUUCUACCUCUCUUAGAGCAAAAUUGCCUCUUAAAAAAGGACAUUGCACCCAGCAUGGUGGCUCAUGCCUGUAAUCCCACAACUUUGGGAAAUUGCGCCAGUGCACUCCAGUCUGGGAGACAGAGCGAGACUCCAUCUAAAAAAAAAAAAAAAAAAAAAGUACAUUGCUGAUUCCAUUUCAGCAUCACUCAAUUACCAUUCUCUAACUGUCUCUGAUUUGUCUUUACCAAAAGCCACAUCUGGCAUAAUUGGCAAAAGACUUUUUUUUUUUCCCCACCAUUCCAAUGAACACAAAAAUGACAUUCUCAACAUCAAAUCAAAUGAUCACAUUUUUAUUCAUAUUUUACUCCAACUGAAAUGAAGGAUAUAACUAAUUUGUCCAUUUUUCUUUAAGCACAUAUCUGUAUUCAUUUUGAUAACCCAGCACUCUUGAUUGUUCCCUUACUGAAUGUUUGUCUCUUAGUAUCCUUUGCCCAUUCUACUCCUUUAAAAAAACUGUUGCAGUAACCAAAGAGUUAUUUUUGAUUCCACUUCUUUGUCAAACUAAAGUCAGCUCUUUGAGGCUUCUGGAUUUUGAUAUUAAAUAUGUGUUUAGCAGUUCAAAUUUUAUAUAUGUAUAUUCUAGCUCAGAUCCAGAAAUCUAUUUCCUUCUUAUCAUUCUCACUUGGAUUCCUCAAGCAAUUUAACAUGCUCUAAAUAUUUCUUCCAUGUUUAUUUAGGUUUCAACUCUACAUACAGAAUAGACUAAUUUAAUAAUUUUAUACAAUCCUUGGCCUUUUACUUUAUAUGAUCUUCUACAUCCAAUAGAAGGUUGUUCAGUUAAACCUUAAAAACCUAUCGCACACUUUUUAAUUCUCUGAAUUUUCAUCAACACCACGGUAGAAACCUCCUCAAUACAGAGUUUUGUAAUAAUUGCUCUUUAAAUUCCCACCAUGAUAUGUUACUAUAUAUUCUGCUCAGAAUGAAAAGGUUCACUAUAAAACAUGGUUUAAAAAAACAAACAUUGAUUUCUCUGCUUCAGGAGUUUCCUUUCCUAUGGUAGAUGAAACUAGGUACAAUAAUUUGUUGUUUGUUUUGGAGAGCUGUCAAGGCAUGCUCCAUGGCCUCUGAAACUAGGUAGAUUGUAUCACAUACACUCCAGACCAACAUACUUGCUACUUUCUGAUUUGAUUGGAUUAACACGAUGUCAACAAUAUAGUGGAACAAUGUGAUAUUCUUGUCAGGUACAGUCUCUUUGGACUAUGUCAGACAAAUGGCAUGAGAGUUAACAUAGUCCUCGAGCUAAUUCAUAAAUGUAUAUUGUUACCAUUUUACAUAAAUGUAAUCGUUGAUGCCCUUAUUUUCUCAGAGGGGUGGGGGAAAAUUGCUAUUCCCACAUUAAUGUCUGUAUGUUAGUGAAUCUGAGUGAGUGCCA
rnacentral:lncRNA from 1 species